rnacentral:rRNA from 1 species
CAGUAGCCGCGGGAAAACGUAGGGGGCAAGCGUUAUCCGGAAUUACUGGGUGUAAAGGGAGCGUAGACGGUUAAACAAGUCUGAAGUGAAAUGCCGGGGCUCAACCCCGGAGCUGCUUUGGGAACUGUAGAACUGGAGUGUCGGAGGGGUAAGCGGAAUUCCCAGUGUAGCGGUGAAAUGCGUAGAUAUUGGGAGGAACACCGGCGGCGAAGGCGGCUUACUGGACGACAACUGACGUUGAGGCUCGAAGGCGUGGGUAGCAAACAGGAUUAGAUACCCGUGUAGUCCCUGUCUCUUAUAC